rnacentral:lncRNA from 1 species
CUAACAAUCUUUAAUCUUCCUGACUUCUCUGUAACAUCAGAUGUCUGUAAAACUUCUCUCUGCUCAAGGCUUCAAUGGCCCCCACCCACCAUGGGCUUCGUGUACUAUGACAGCUCCUCUUCUAGAUCCUUUUUGGCUGUUCGUCCUCUUUCCCCCUACAUGAAGAAGAAACAAAAGUAUGUUGCAGCUGUCUCGGGUUAUUUAUCUGAUUUGAGAAGCUUACUUCCCUCCACUCAGAUGCCUCUAUUCUAUUACAGUGAGAUUCUUCCUUUAUAAGGAGUACAUUGGCACCUUCUCACCAAUUACACUGAAAGAGGAAGAAUAUUUGAAAUGAAAAGUGAUAAUUAUUGAACUCUACUUCUCAUGUCCUGAGCUAUGUUCAGCAUGGUCUGUUGGGUUAAAGACCACCAGUCAGGUUACACACGAAUCAGGGAUGUGGAAUCGUCAUGAGCAUGGAACCUGGUG